AUGUUUGUAACAAUAUGGACAGAAUUUUAGCAACUCCAAUCGAUUAGGCGUAUUGUGCCGGUUCUUUUGAGUAAUAUAUCUGGAAAUGCCCGUUGAUGCUUUAUUAACACCGUUCCAAACACAAGCUGUACAUUCCAAAAUAACCAAUAUUCGCACAUCUUUACCCUUGGCCAUGAACCUCCCUUGGAUUUUUCAUUUACUCAACUCUUCCUCUUUCAAUCCGAAACGAAGAAAGAAAGGAAAAGACAAACUAUAAUUUGUUACUUGCUAUCUUCUUAUGCAAGAUUUCACUAAAAUCAAUAUAGGGAAUAAGAUAGAAAUAUUUCUAAACUAUAUUUCAAAUAACAGUACAAUAUUUCAUAUAAGUAUCUUGUAUAAUACUCUUUCCCUAGAACCACAGUUUGUAUUCGACUUCUAUAAAAAUUUAACACAUUGAAAUUUCAUAUUAAUUUAAUUCCAACCUGAACCCGAGUCUCGCAGCUGUUGAAUGCACUUUUAUUCUUUCUAUUUCCUCCCUUAUUCUGAAAAAAGGGAAAAAGAGAAAAGAGGGGGGCUAGUAUUUAAUUGUAUCUCUAAUAUUCUUUAUUCCUUCCCAUGUCAAUAACUAGAAUGAAAAAAAGGGGAACDUCAACGCAUCCGGGAAAAAACGAUUAAUCUCUAUCAAUAAACCGGCUAAAGAAGCGAACCAUAGAGUACUUAGUACCGGUGCCACAGAAAGAUAUGUUUUUUGAUCUCGCAUUGAAAACUCUCCUUCAUUUUAUUGUAAUACAUAAGAUAAUACAUAUUGAAAUGUACAAUCAUCCAGUAAAUAAGAUUUACUUUUUGUUAAAUACAGAAAAAGCGUCCUUUUCUUCCCCAAUAUUCCCCCAAAAGAUUCAAGGGGUUCCAUUCCAUAUUUUAUAUAGAUAGAAGUAUUUUACUAUUAUUAUAUGUUAAAUGAGACCAAAAAGACGAAAUGGACAUAAAAGUGAUAGAUUUUAAUAGAGGAGAUAACGAUGUGGAAAACAAGGCAUGAAUUCUCUACAAUGAUAUUGUAGUCCAAUGGAAGGGAUGUACCGCAGCUUGGUAGCGCAUUUGUUUUGGAUACAAAAUGUCACGGGUUCAAAUCCUGUCAUCCCUACCUAUUACUGCUCCUUUUAGCAGUAACGAGGGAUUUUUUGAGAUUAAUUCACAUUGGACAUAUCAUAUAGACUUUUUCAUUCUUAUGAUACUAUAUAGUAUAUGCAUACAAGAUGUAUUGGGGCCAAUCCUUUUCUUUAUAGUCUUAUCUUUUAUGAUAAGAAAGCGCUCUUAGUUCAAUUCGGUAGAACGUGGGUCUCCAAAACCCGAUGUCGUAGGUUCAAAU